GAUGUAAGUAAAAGUCGUAACAAGGUCUCCGUUGGUGAACCAGCGGAGGGAUCAUUACCGAGUUUACAACUCCCAAACCCAAUGUGAACGUUACCAAACUGUUGCCUCGGCGGGGUCACGCCCCGGGCGCGUCGCAGCCCCGGAACCAGGCGCCCGCCGGAGGGACCAACCAAACUCUUUACUGUAGUCCCCUCGCGGACGUUUUUACUUACAGCUCUGAGCAAAAAUUCAAAAUGAAUCAAAACUUUCAACAACGGAUCUCUUGGUUCUGGCAUCGAUGAAGAACGCAGCGAAAUGCGAUAAGUAAUGUGAAUUGCAGAAUUCAGUGAAUCAUCGAAUCUUUGAACGCACAUUGCGCCCGCCAGUAUUCUGGCGGGCAUGCCUGUCCGAGCGUCAUUUCAACCCUCGAACCCCUCCGGGGGGUCGGCGUUGGGGACCUCGGGAGCCCCUAAGACGGGAUCCCGGCCCCGAAAUACAGUGGCGGUCUCGCCGCAGCCUCUCCUGCGCAGUAGUUUGCACAACUCGCACCGGGAGCGCGGCGCGUCCACGUCCGUAAAACACCCAACUUUCUGAAAUGUUGACCUCGGAUCAGGUAGGAAUACCCGCUGAACUUAAGCAUAUCAAUAAGUCGGAGAAA
rnacentral:rRNA from 1 species